AGAUGGACCCGGUGCUAUUCUUCAGUAAAUGCUUUACAUUGGAGACCACAAUAUAGCAAGUGGGGAUUGCAGUGAUAACAGCAAGUCUCGGAGGAGUUGAAAGUAUGAGUGAUCAGGAAUCAGGCCAGUCAAGCAGAAGACGAUAUGUACACUAACCUGUUCACACUGAAUAGUCCCUAUAAAUAAUUUACAGCUAUGACUGCUAGCUAUUAUUACCAAAAUACUGGACUGCAUUUUGACACACGCAUUCAGCUUGUAAGUCAAUAGAAACAUUCACCUAGCAUGUGUCGACCACACUUAAAGGCAUCCAUCCGUGGACGUUUUGUUACAAUGUAAUUUACCACUUGGAAUUUUAAUUGACGAAAGUCUUUUUUAAACAAUGUUCACUCUUUCUUUCUCUCUCUCUCUCUCUCUCUGCCAUGUGAAUAAUAUUGAUCCUUAAUAGCCUUGACUGUAUUUGUUUUCUCAGCUUUGUGUUUUUAAAGACCUUUGAUGUUUUAUUAAACAUCCCUAUUCCACUGCA